rnacentral:tRNA from 1 species
GCCUUGGUGGCUUAAUUGGUUAAGUGUCUGACUUUGGCUCAGGUCAUGAUCCCAGGGUCCUGGGAUUGAGUCCCACACGGGGCU